rfam:Salmo salar isolate Sally breed double haploid chromosome ssa12, whole genome shotgun sequence.
UGUACAGCCUGCAGUAUGUCGCUCUGGAUAAGAGCGUCUGCUAAAUGACUUAAA